AGAGUUUGAUUAUGGCUCAGGAUGAACGCUGGCGGCGUGCUUAACACAUGCAAGUCGAACGAGGUCCAACCUUCGGGUGAAGACCGAGUGGCGAACGGGUGAGUAACACGUGGGGAACCUGCCCUUCUCUCUGGGAUAACCUCGGGAAACCGAAGCUAAUACCGGAUACUCCUUGCGGACCGCAUGGUCUGCUCGGGAAAGCUCCGGCGGAGAAGGAUGGCCCCGCGGCCCAUUAGCUUGUUGGUGGGGUAACGGCCCACCAAGGCGACGAUGGGUAGCCGAGCUGAGAGGCUGAUCGGCCACACUGGGACUGAGACACGGCCCAGACUCCUACGGGAGGCAGCAGUGGGGAAUCUUGCGCAAUGGGCGAAAGCCUGACGCAGCAACGCCGCGUGCGGGAUGAAGGCUCUCGGGUCGUAAACCGCUUUCAGCAGGGAUGAAAAUGACAGUACCUGCAGAAGAAGCCCCGGCUAAAUACGUGCCAGCAGCCGCGGUAAUACGUAUGGGGCAAGCGUUAUCCGGAUUCAUUGGGCGUAAAGCGCGCGUAGGCGGCUUGUUAAGUCAGGCGUGAAAUCCGGGGGCUCAACCCGCGGCUUGCGUCUGAAACUGGCAGGCUUGAGUCUGGUAGAGGAAAGUGGAAUUCCUGGUGUAGCGGUGAAAUGCGCAGAUAUCAGGAGGAACACCAGUGGCGAAGGCGGCUUUCUGGGCCACGACUGACGCUGAGGCGCGAAAGCUAGGGGAGCGAACAGGAUUAGAUACCCUGGUAGUC
rnacentral:rRNA from 1 species